GAUGAACGCUAGCUACAGGCUUAACACAUGCAAGUCGAGGGGUAACGAGAGGAAAGCUUGCUUUCCUUGUCGACGACCGGCGCACGGGUGAGUAACGCGUAUCCAACCUGCUCCCAACUAGGGAAUAACCUUGCGAAAGUAAGACUAAUACCCUAUAAUUUCCUCAGAUGUCAUCUGACGAGGAAUAAAGAUUUAUCGGUUGUGGAUGGGGAUGCGUCUGAUUAGCAUGUUGGCGGGGUAACGGCCCACCAAGGCAACGAUCAGUAGGGGUUCUGAGAGGAAGGUCCCCCACAUUGGAACUGAGACACGGUCCAAACUCCUACGGGAGGCAGCAGUGAGGAAUAUUGGUCAAUGGGCGGAAGCCUGAACCAGCCAAGUAGCGUGCAGGAUGACGGCCCUAUGGGUUGUAAACUGCUUUUAUACAGGAAUAAAGUUAGCCACGUGUGGUUAUUUGUAGGUACUGUAUGAAUAAGGACCGGCUAAUUCCGUGCCAGCAGCCGCCGUAA
rnacentral:rRNA from 1 species